AGUGAACGCUGGCGGCAGGCCUAACACAUGCAAGUCGAACGGCAGCACAGAGGAGCUUGCUCCUUGGGUGGCGAGUGGCGGACGGGUGAGGAAUGCAUCGGAAUCUGCCUAUUUGUGGGGGAUAACGUAGGGAAACUUACGCUAAUACCGCAUACGUCCUACGGGAGAAAGUGAGGGACCUUCGGGCCUCACGCAGAUAGAUGAGCCGAUGCCGGAUUAGCUAGUUGGCGGGGUAAAGGCCCACCAAGGCGACGAUCCGUAGCUGGUCUGAGAGGAUGAUCAGCCACACUGGAACUGAGACACGGUCCAGACUCCUACGGGAGGCAGCAGUGGGGAAUAUUGGACAAUGGGCGCAAGCCUGAUCCAGCCAUGCCGCGUGUGUGAAGAAGGCCUUCGGGUUGUAAAGCACUUUUGUCCGGAAAGAAAAGCGCUCGAUUAAUACUCGGGUGUUAUGACGGUACCGGAAGAAUAAGCACCGGCUAACUUCGUGCCAGCAGCCGCCGUAAUAC
rnacentral:rRNA from 1 species